GAUGAACGCUAGCGGCAGGCCUAAUACAUGCAAGUCGAACGGGAUCAGGGAGCUUGCUCCCUGUGAGAGUGGCGCACGGGUGCGUAACACGUAUGCAACCUACCUUCAACUGGGGGAUAGCCUUCCGAAAGGAAGAUUAAUACCGCAUAACAUAAUUGAAUGGCAUCAUUUGAUUAUCAAACGUCAGGGUUGAAGAUGGGCAUGCGUCCGAUUAGCUAGUUGGUGUGGUAACGGCACACCAAGGCGACGAUCGGUAGGGGAUCUGAGAGGAUGAGCACCGGAACUGGUACUGAGACACGGACCAGACUCCUACGGGAUGCAGCAGUAAGGAAUAUUGGUCAAUGGGCAGAAGUCUGAACCAGCCAUGCCGCGUGCAGGAAGUCGGUCCUCUGGAUUGUAGACUGCUUUUGUUAGGGAAAAAACCCUCGGAUGCGUCCGGGGCUGACGGUACCUAAAGAAUAAGGAUCGGCUAACUCCGUGCCAGCCGCCGCGGUAA
rnacentral:rRNA from 1 species